ACUUACUUAGUUUAAAAAACAUUUUGUUUUCAGUAAAAAAAAAGAUAAAAAUCUAGUAGGUU
rnacentral:tRNA from 1 species